UUUUUGGCUUUAAAACCAUAGAUUAAGCCCCCAACCUCUCCUGAGGGUCGCUUUACACAAGUACUUUCUGUUGGAAUUGGAGGUUCUGCCCUUGGACCACAGUUUGUUGCAGAGGCGUUGGCUCCUGAUAAUCCUCCUCUCAAGAUAAGGUUCAUUGACAAUACAGAUCCAGCUGGCAUUGAUCAUCAGAUUGCACAGCUUGGCCCUGAGUUGGCUUCUACGCUUGUAAUAGUUAUAUCAAAGAGUGGAGGCACUCCAGAAACAAGAAAUGGUUUAUUGGAAGUACAAAAAGCAUUCCGUGAAGCUGGCCUAGAUUUUGCAA